ensembl:lncRNA novel transcript, antisense to RASGRF1
GUGCUGCAGGGAGCAGGGGAAUGUGGGAGAGACACUUACACGGGCCCACAGGCCACCUGAAAGAGGGAAGACGGUCAGGGUGGGGACUCAGACAGAAUGGGGGGCCCCAGAGGCAGUGGAGGCAGCGGUGGUGGCGGCGGCAGACGAGGAAGCCAGCCAUGUGAGGAGGUGGAUGGAGUGGUGCCCCGGGGGCGGACGGACGGACAAGUUGGUGAAUGCACGGAGGGGGCAGCUCCCCACAAGCACAGUCCACAGGGGCUCUCGGGAGCCCAGGCAGAAGAGAGACGGCUGGACAGCACAGAUGGGUGCAACAUCUGUCUGAGGACACAAACAAAGUGGAGAUGGUCAAGGCGAUGGCACACAGAGCUGGCAAAGGACAGACCAAAUGCGGCAGGAAGAAAACGCAAAGAGGAGGCAGACGAGGCUGGCAGAGGGGUUCAUGUUCUGAGUGAAGAGGGAUUGAGCACACAUUUAAGGUGAUCAACUAGCCAACACGUUCCAGGAAGCAGCUAACUCUCUGUGGCCAGAAGCGCAGGUGAAAUUAGAAUCCUGGGAAGGGGCUUGCAGGAUCAUCUGACGGAAGUGUCCUCUGACGGAAGGGUCCUCCGAUGGAAGGGUCCUCUGAUGGAAGGGUCAUCUGACCACUGUCUCAGCUGCCCUGCAGAUCCCCAUAAAGCCACCACUCUUGCCCCAACUCCAGAAGAAAAAUGUUGGGACCAAUAAUCACCAUCAUAUUCUUUCCACUUUGAGGUAUUAAUUACUCAAGUGGGGAUUACAGUCCAGGUCUCACUGCCAUAUCUGUGGGCCUGCUAUCUGGUCCCAGGUGAUAUAGGGGAAGCUAUUCUGUUUUACCUGGGAGUGUUAGACCUCAGCCCAGUACUUUGCCCACUUGUGGAUGCCCAGUGGCCAGCCCACGGGUCUUCCUGCCCUAGCCCCAAUCCAGCCCCAGGGAGGCAGUGGUGCCAGCCUCCUGCCCGCACCUGCUUAGAGACUUUGAGCCACGUCUUUUUGAGCCGGAAGAUUGCACUGCGGUUCAUGGACGAGGUGAUCUCCAGUACGGCAUUGUAGUUGUGGAGGCAGCGGCAUAUGUCAGCUACGGCCACCCACUUCUCGAUGGCGCUCACCCUGGCGUUGAUGUCCUCAUUGCGGAUGAUUUCUGAAGCAAUCAAGUUACUGAUCUUUAAGCCGAUGCAAUAAGACAGGGAAAAAGAGGAGUAAGUAUUGCAAAGAUGAUAAAUGGUCACUAUUUGCAGAUAUGAUUGCCUGCUUGAAAAUACAAGAAGGAAUUGGAAAACUACGAGAACAACUAACAGAGCUUGCUAGGGUUGCUGGCUAAAGGUUCAAUAUACAAAAAUGAAAAGUUUAUAUAUACAUUAGCAAUAAUCAAUUAGAAAAUACAACAAAAAUACAACCUUCCAAAUAACAAUGGGAAUCUGUAAAUACCUAGGAACUUAAUGAGAACUAUGUAGGAUGGAAAAAACAGGUCACCAAAGGAUAUAAAAGGCUUGAAUAACAGAGAAAGAGAUCAAAUUCCCAAAUGGGAAUGUAAAUAUGUCAUUUUUCUGACAACUAAUACAUGUGUUUAAUGUAAUCCAAUAAAACACUCAGGCCAGGCGCGGUGGCUCACACCUGUAAUCCCAGCACUUUGGGAGGCCGAGGCAGGCGAAUCAUUUGAAGUCAGGAGUUCAAGACCAGCCUGACCAACAUGGUGAAACCCUGUCUCUACAAAAAAUACACACACAAAAAAAAUUAGCUGGGCGUGAUGGCGCAUGCCUGUAAUCUCAGCUACUUGAAAAACUGAGGCAGGAAAAUCACUUGAACCCAGGAGGUGGAUGUUUCAGUGAGCCAAGAUUGCGCUGCUGCACUCCAGCCUGGGUGACAGAGCGAGACUCCAUCUCAG